AGGAUCAUAUCUUCCUGUUUGGGGUGCUCCUUCCUAUCCAACAUCUUUUAGGUGGGCUGCCCUCGGCUCCCCCGUCCGAGCUCCAUCAGACCGCUGGUCUUUUUUUUUUUAGCCCCGUACGUAUAGAUCCUCUCGCCGGUAAGAGACGCCGCCGGACUGGAUUUCAGGGACGUUGCCGGACUGGCUCUUAACGAUGCGGCCGCUCGCUCGGUCAUCCCCACGCUGUCUCGGCCGACGGCCCGUGCUGGCCACUCCUCAUGAUGUUCGUUGCAACUCUGUUUCUGAUGCUUUCAAGUUUUUUUUUGGUCGAUGCUCCUCCAUCUGCCUUGAAGAUUUUUUGAUCAUCGUUCUUGCGUUUUUUCGAUUUUGGUUUCCCCGAUCUUUCCCUCUGCCUCACCGUGUGUGAUUUUUUCGAUUUUGCUAUUCUGAUCCGUCGGCGAGGCCACCUUUCUUCUUCCUGGUCGCAACCUGUUCCGCGGCGUGGUUUUCUAGAAGUUGCUUCACGCCUUAUCCUAUCAGUUGUGGGCUUUCUACUGCUAUUGGCGUGAGGCAGGGAAAGCAUCCAGCUCAGCCGCCUUUUUGUUCUCAUCUGGAUCUCAACCUUCCCGGCUUUCCAAACUCCACCGAUGCUCUGGAUGUGCAUCUCCGCCGCCGCUGUCUUACCGUUUCCCGGCUCCUCUCCAUUGUUUGCCACGUCAUCCCCCGCGGGAGCUGCUGCCUUCCGCGCCCUCUCUGACCGCUGUGGCGUGUAUGAGGCAGUCAUCGGGGCGACACGCCUUCUCACCCUCCAGAUGCGGCUGCCGGCGCGGAGGAGGCAGGCGGUGCCGGUUCGUCCUCCGGCAGCAGCGGACGAGGCGACGACGGAGACGCACGCCUCCGUGUGCAGCAGUGCAGUACCUCUGCUCCCUCUCUGUCCACAACCUCACCUCCUCUCUCUUUCUGUGUCUGUUUAAGCCGCCGACCGUAACCAACUGCAGUGCCGGCCGCACGCGAGGAUGUUAGAACUUUGCUCUUGACUCCACGGUUAGCCGCAACCCCAGGCCCAAAGCAGCUCCUGAUUUUGAGAGAGAUCUUGAUACUGCUUUCUCGUGUUGAUUAGUAGUACAUGUGUGCCUCAAUGCCCAAAGCGCGCAUUAUUUUCAUCUUAUUCAUGCCAUUCUACUAUACAAUUGUACAGCUAUUUCAUGUUUGCAUCUCGGUGGGUUGAAGAUACCCGGUUGCAGUUGCUUCACUAUUGGAAAUCUGAGAAGUUAUCAUACCCUGCAGCGACAACAACUUGAGCAUUUGCCGGACAAAUAUGUGAGCAAAUAAAAGAAAACAGAAACUGGUAUGGAGUGGUUGCCAGCAGAUGGCCUCAGUAUCUAUCUGAUGAGCUUGGAUUUGGAGAAUGCUAUUGCUGAUGUCGAAAGAAGUUAUGAUGGCAUUGGAAAAGCAUUAUAUGGAGACUGUAAUGCCUUCGAGAGACAACAUAUCAAAAAUUCUUGAGCAGCAUGUUCAACGACUAACAAGAAGACAGUCGAUAGCUCCGUAUGCUAUGCCAAAUUAGUUAGGGGCAUUCAUGAAUACAGUUAAAAGAAUGCUAGAUGUGUUACACUACCGGACUGAGGAUAUUCUGAAAUCGUGGGCAGCAUAUCUAACCAUAGCAAGUGGAAUCACAGUUAUUGAUGGCAAUGAUGUGUAGGAGACCUGAGGGUGAUCAAGGCGCAGAUUACGAUGGAACAUUUGGAACUCCAUGGCCAUGCAUGUAGUUGAAGAACAAGCGUAUUUUACAGCAGGUGUGAACCGUAUGAGGUGACACCGGGAGGAAACUCUUGCAGGCAAGGGGACACAAAGACUAGAAUCUUCUAGGUUUACUUAAUUGCUAGAACAAAAUUGCCAUCUGAUGCCUUCACCACCAGCGGAGUCAUGACUUGAAUCUGUUGCCUCUUCACUGCCUCAUUGGGAUUGUGGGUCAAUCAAGCACUUGGUCGUAUGCAUAUAUAUUUAUAGCCACUGCUAUCUGUCAAGGAUAAUACAAUGGCCAAGUAAGUGCAUAGUGGCAGUUCUAGACAAUUCCUUAGUUUAUGUACGUAUGAGGAUAUCGAAAGCAGCGAGUUGAUGUUCCAUACCGUAUAUUUCAUUUUUCUCUAUUAUAACAAAGAAUAUUUAAAAUGUACUUAUCCAUCAACAAUUUCGAGCCUAUCCAAUAAAUGAUUUAUAUGUGUGAAUUAUCAGCAUAUCAAAAUUUUCCAGUAGCUUCAAAGCUAAUAUUUGCACUGUAGACUUUGCAGGAUAUAUCAUGUAUAUUAAUUUUUAUUUCAUGAUAUGCAUCUCCUCGCAACCUUGAGGAUAUUGCUAUAGAGGUUUUAUGAAACAGGGGAAAGUGAGGUGGCUUAGCAGGCAGCACAAGCACAUGCCUACUUUUUAUUGCUAUUGUAUUGUAUUUAACGGACAUAUCUUGGUUGCUGAGGUAAGAUCUCUUGACAAUUAUUUUCUUAUCUUCUCUUGCUGGCACUAUUGGCCCAUUGUUAAAUUUAUUACAGUUUCAUAUGAGUAUUAUGAAUACGUUCUUUCCUUUGUUGUUGUUCUCUUACUUUUUGUUCUGGUGGAUCUGCCAUAGAAGCGACCCAAUGAAUUUCAUCUAUUCUCUAUUAAGUUAGUCUUUUAAGUAGCUUAUUAGUGGAAGAAUACACCACCAAGAACAUAGUUGAACCCAAUGGAUUUCUGCUCUAACUUCGCAUAUCUCCCUGCUUUCUUUCUAUAAAUAUGAAUAUGAAAGGAUGCACAACUUUGAACAUUGUUACACUACUACCGCUGAAAACGAAACUUUUAUUCUUUGCACAUGAACAAUAACAUAGGCAGUUCACCUGCCAUGUCAAUGUUCUUUCAGAACUCCAGUUAUGCUCUUUGCCUGUCUAAACUUUUUUUAUGAAAUGCAAUCACCUUCAUGCAGGAUGUGGAAAAUAGCAAUGCCAUUUGAGACCGGAGGAAAACAGUCGAAUCAAUAGUGAUACAUGUGCUACCAACUACUAUGUAUCUGUUAAUUCUUCCUGGACGUAGGGCAUGUAAGCAAGCAGGUGAAAGACCACGGUUGCAAGCAAUGCAUACUUCUUUGUACUA